UUGGACCGGUUUUCCAGGAGCACUUUGUUGUCCGUCUUGACCGCUUGCUGAAACAUGUAGUCACAGAACUGCUCUCGUACAAAUCCUGGGCUGGCCACCAGGACGCACUUGACAACAUCAAAGUUUAUGUGGCGCUGGAUGGCCUGGACCACCUGUUCAUAGAACCUCUCCAGGGCCCGGUCAUGCUGGGAGCAGUUGCCUUUCCGUUUCCUGGGGAUGUUCACCUCCACCUUGGCACGGGUGAGGGUCAUACUGGGCGUGACUAAGCAGACGUGGGCGAGGCCCUCCUGCAUGACCACGGCUGCCACAUCAGCGCUCCAAGCCGGGUCACAAGCCUGCUCGAUGCGUUCCAGAACCACACUGUCCCACUGUUUCUUGGCCAGGGUGAACUGGCGGUUGGGCUCCAGUUCGAUGGUGUGGUAGGCCCCCAUCUUGACGUACUCAUUCUCUUGGAUAUUGGUCCCCUUCACUCGCAGCUGGCAGGCUUGGGAGUCGAAGUCGAUGGCCUCCACGCAGAGGUGGCGAUGGGAAUGCCUCUUUCUUGAGACUGAGGACAGUGGGAAGCAGAGAAGUCCUGAACACAUACUCUCACUGCGUUUUGUAUGAGGAUCUUAAAGCAGAGCUCUUUAGCCUUAAUUGAAAAGACAAGAAGAAGAAAAAAGUCACGGUUGUUACCUUCCAACAACCUGAGUCUGCUGUUUCUGGACACUGCCGGUGGAGAACUGGGCUGGAAGUCAAGAGGACAGUGGCUCCCGCCAUUCGCUCGGUUUCACUGUCACUUUUGGCUCACUCGGUCUGUUUGAAACUCAGUUUCUCCUACUUGACAACCGGGGGAAUUGAAGUCAGUCGCUUACACUACAGCUGUUAAAGCGAUGUCGUGUCACGUUAAGGAAACUAACCCCUGUGACAUUUGUGUUCGGUCUUGCACACUCAUCUAAGUCUGACUCUUUCUGAACCCCAUUUUAGUGAUCAGGGGUUGAACGAUUGUGCAUCAGGAAAUGGUAUAAAUUGGGCCCACAGGAGAACAAAGUGCGUCUGAAGGUACCCGCUACCAAACCUGAGUUGGAUGCCCUGCUAGAAGAACAGAAAUGACUAUGGCAAGCUGUCCUCUCACCUGCACACCUACUAUGUGGCACACUUGAACCCCUACACAUGUACACACAAAGUAAAUAGAUGUAAAAAGGGUUUAAAUAAAAUCAGAAAUUGGUAGACUUGGGUGGCCUUUUUUAGCUGGAGUCCGUCCAUGUUAGUCUCUACACAUUUCUUUUUGUUUUGUUUUCCCUUUGUAUCACAAAAAGAUUGUUCCUCUUCUCAUAUUGACAGUCUUCACGAAGUUCUAGCAGGAAUAUGCUAGCUGGUAGAUUUGUAGAGUUGUGUGAACGAGGCACUCUGGUAAAUCUCUAAGACGGCCUAGCUCGAAGCUAGACAUCAGAAUCCCACAAAAGGAAGUGUAAGAAUGAAUCUGAACAGGAUCACAUUGGAAAUAACCGUCCUGGGAGAUUUUCUGAAGGAAGGCAGGUUGCGUACAAUUCCUUACUGUAGCACAUUUCCUAGCUGUGCUAGGGAAUGAAAUGGUGCCUGGGUACCUCCUUGUUUACUGAGUUGGGAUAGUUCCUAUUAAAAUAAUAUGCCAGGAAUGAUUUGUAUGAUGGCAACAAGGAUUCUAGGCUCUUGAAAGAUGAAUAUCAUGCUUAACUACUUCAUGCUGAACACUUCAUCUUCUUCUUGUUGUUCAUUUAGGUUUGCGAGGGAGGGGGGCAUUGUUUGUGGUUUUGUUUCCCUUUCUGGCAAGACUUAACUUUGCUAAAGCACCCCUGGGAGUCCAUCCUGACAUUUCUUCUCUGUGUCUAUUGUCUCCUCCAGACCACAAGCCCCUGAAGGGCACAGACCACCUUCUUUAUUCCCCAACACAAUCCAUGGACUCUAACAUGGCCCACAUGAAAGACUGAGCAGCAAUUCUCCCCUAAUUUAGAAUUUUUAACCUGACUGUCACUGAACUCUUAAAUGUAAGAAAGUGCUUUGCGUUUUAUGCUGUUACUAAAAACAUGCAUAAGAUUACACUUAAGGCAAACAUCUAUAAACCUCUUUCAGUUUUAAAGGUAUCAGUACUUACAUAGGAAAAUAGUGAUU